GGGCGCUUAGCUCAGUUGGUUUAGAGCGCUUGCCUUACAAGCAAGAGGUCGCAGGUUCGAAUCCUGCAGCGCCCA
rnacentral:tRNA from 1 species